CAUAACUGUAUACACCGAUUAUUUCCUCCCUGAAUUACAGCUCCCUUCUUGGACACUAAUGCUGACUCAACAUUAAAUUGUGUCACAGAGUGUAUCAAUCAUCUCCUCCUUGAGCCAUAACUUCACCUCUCAAUUAACAGUUUUUUACUUUUUCUGUUUUUCUGGAACCAUCAACUUCUUUCUUAUUAUCCAACCCAAUAUUCAGUUUGACCUCAACACUGAAAUCCUGAUUGUAGAUAUCGGUAACCUGAAACUCUGUAGGUACAUGCGGUACCCAAAGAAUUUUUUAUGCUACCUGUUCUCUUAUGAAAUGAGCAUCGAUUUUUAUAUGUUUUAUUCUAUAGUGAAAAACAACAUCUGAAGCUAGUGCUCAUGUACUCAAAUUAUCACACCAUAUCACAACUGGACUAUUAUAAGGAGCUUGUAUCUCUCUGAUAGACCCCCAAUUAUCAAGAGUUAUCAGAUGCCACCAGCUGUGAUAGCAACAGUGAAAGAUAAACAUUAUCAAAAUAAUUCCAUGAAGCAGGGUGAAACACUGCAAGAGAGUCAGGAUAAGGAUAAAUCAAAAGAGGGAGAUAAUGAUAACCCAAAGAAAGAAGAUAGGACCCAUCCAGCAGCCAAUUCAACUAUAAAAGGGCGGCAGAGCAAUGUAGAAGGGGCAUCAGGGAAAUAUACAGGUUAUUAGGUGGGAUUCGGGGGCUUAGGGCUAUGGACCUUUGGGUGCUGUGCAUUGCAGCUCCGGGGUAUUGGUUUAUUCUUUAGCUAUUCAAUAAAACAGCACGGUUGAAGCAGAGGUGAGAGCAGGUUCAGAGCAGCUCCUGCAGAAACACCAUCACAGGUCAGGUACUCAUUAAAGUGGUAUCAGAGCGAGAAGUAAAAGGUCAGUACAAGGAUGGAACCAAAAGUUGACCUGCUGGAGAAAGAAGUAACAGAAAUGGGAGCGGUCAGAGAAGAAUUAAAGGGCAUCCAAAUUGAGCUAAGGGAGGCACGAUCUGUGAGAAAGGAGGUGACCGAAAUCAAGAAAAUAUUAGCAAUGGUUUGUCAAAAGGAAAUAAAGGGCAAAGCCAUUGCCGAUCAGUCAGAAGUCCAAGAGGACAUUGGAAACUCGGGAAGCAACAAAUUAUCAGAUGAAGAAAAGAACGAUAGUAGAAAGGAACCGAAACCAAUGCACCUGCGAGGAGGAGAAGUCAUUGGGGGCAGAGGUUGUGAUGUCUAUACAUGACGAAUUGAGAUACCAAUAUUUGGCGGCGAAGAUCCGGUCGGAUGGAUUUUUAGGGCAGGCAAAUACUUCUCCGUCAAUCGCGUCAGAGCAGAAGACAAAGUCCCAGCAGCCGGCGUGUGUAUGGAAGGACCAGCACGGACAUGGCUUCAAUGGGAACAGACCAGGGGAUCGUUCGGUAGCUAGGAGGAGUUUAAAGAAGCACUGAUUGAAAGGUUCCGACUGACUUAGGAUGGCACAACGUAUGAGGAACUCCUUUUUCCCUGGCAGCAUGGUUCCGUUGGCGACUACAGAUUCCACUUUGAAAAAUUGUCGGCCUCUCUUCUGGAUCUCUCAGAUGGAGCCUUGAAAGAUGCCUUCGUUUCUGGGUUAAAAGAAGAAGGGAAAUUUUAAAAAUUAGGCAAAAUUAAAGGGGUUUAAGCGAAAUUACCCAAAAAAUUCAGGUUUAA